rnacentral:rRNA from 1 species
GGAUUAGAUACCCUGGUAGUCCACGCCGUAAACGAUGAUAACUAGCUGUCCGGGCACUUGGUGCUUGGGUGGCGCAGCUAACGCAUUAAGUUAUCCGCCUGGGGAGUACGGCCGCAAGGUUAAAACUCAAAGGAAUUGACGGGGGCCUGCACAAGCGGUGGAGCAUGUGGUUUAAUUCGAAGCAACGCGCAGAACCUUACCAGCGUUUGACAUGGUAGGACGACUUCCAGAGAUGGAUUUCUUCCCUUCGGGGACCUACACACAGGUGCUGCAUGGCUGUCGUCAGCUCGUGCCG